AAUUCUGGAAUGUCUUUAUAGUCUCCUUUAUCCUAGUUCUGAAUGACAACACAUUUUUUAAAAUUCAUGUUUCUAACUUUGUUCAAUUUGAAAUUAAUUAUACUUGUAAUUUUUGGACUGGAAUUGAAUUGAAUUAUAUUGAUCCAAAAUUUUUUCUCAGAAGAAUGUAAUUUCAUUUCUCUGAACUUCAAACAUGAGUUAUUUUCCAUAAUGAUAGUAAAAAAUUGAAGAAUAGAUGGCACUAUCAGAAUAAAUGCAUGUAGAUAAAAUAAUCAAUAGCUCAUAUAAAAAUGCUUUGCUCACUUUUUUAAUCCUUUGGCAUUGCCUAAAAGAACUAAAGGUUUCUCUUUCAACACUAGUCUAGUCAGUUCACCUGGCCCAAAUGGCUGUAGAAACCAGGUCCUUCCCCGUCCUGCUGGGUUACUGGAGGGUUGGGUUGGAUGUACAGCCCGACUGGUUUUCACAUCUCCUCUUUUGUCCUCCAUGGUGGGUAAUACCACCACGGGGAUAAGUGUGCAUUGCUCAAGGGUGCUGUUAGAAGACAUGACUUCAGUGUACCCUUCUUCACAAUGGCAUGUUUUUGUCUGCAGGAGAACAAGAAGAUUUAUACUAGCCAUGCAAGGAAUCUUUGGAAGUCUAACAGACCUGACUUGAAGAGAAGGCUUUAAACAAGAAAUUCUUCAUUCUGGAACAGUGAUUCUUAAAGUGCGGUUCAGAGACCCUGGGAGACACUGACAUUCUUUCAGAGUGUGAGUGAGGAUUUCCUCUUUGCAACUACAAUCUGUGUAAGGUUGGAUUUUCUUUACAUACAUAAACUAAAAUAAGAUUGCAAUAAGAUGAAUGCAGAAGCAGAUAAGAGAAUCCAGCUGUCUUAAGUUAGACUUCACAGAGAUUUGCAAAAAUCCAAACAAGACCACUCUCGUCAUUAAAGUUAUUUUCCAUUUGUUAUGGUGAACUUAUUUUGCAGGAAAUUUGUUAUUUAUAGUAACAUACAAUUUUGUUUUUUGAUCAUUUUAAAUAAAUUAAUAAAUAUUAUAAGUUUUCUAUUUUUAAAAUUAUACAUGUCAGAAAAGAACAGUUCUUUCAGGUCCUCAACAAUUUUAAGACUAUUAACUUGUUUUGGAUCAAAAAGUUCUAGAUUUGCUAUUCUAGACAUGAAUCCUUUGAAAUUAAUUGGCUUCAUAAGUAUAUUUUUCAAGUUUGUGGCUUGUCCUGUAACCUUCUACUGUGUAGAAGUUUUAAAUUUUAAUUUAAAGAAAUUUAAAAUUUUUUCAUUUUUGUUUGUGCUUUUGGUGUCAUAUUUAGGAAAUCCUUCUCUACCUUGAGUUCAUGAAAAUAUCCUCUUAUAUUUAGUAUUUACAGUUUGUUCUUCAUCUUUAGGUCUAUAAUUUAUUGAAAAUAUAGUUUUGUAUGUGAUGUAAGCUAAAGAUAUUUUUUAAAACUUGAUAUGGAUAACACAUUUUGGCAAUAUUAUUCAUCCACUCAUUCUCCCACUGACUUUCCCUCUGCCACUUACUUACCUACAUAAGAAUUUGUCGUGGAGAUUCUCUUUUCUAUUCUUUUAGUCUAAUGGCUUAAUUGUUGAUCAAUUACCCUUUUUAACUAUUGAUGCUUUAGAGUAAGUCUUGAUAUAAAGCCAUGUAAGUCCCUUGAAUUAGUCUCCCACUUUUCCUUCUUAAAAACAUUCUGGGAUCUUCUUGGCCUUUAACUCCUCUGACUUAAUUUUAGGAUCAAUUUCUCAGAUUACAUUAACAACCUGUUCAAAUUGCAUAGAUUUUAUAGGUAAAUCUGUAUAAAAUUUACAUGUUAUAAUAUUGGGGCUUUUUAUUCAUAAACAUUUUCACCAACGUUUUAGUUUCAUAUCUUCCAAUAAGAUUUUAUAAUUUUUCAUACCUAUCUUAGAUGAUUUUGGUUGCAUUUAUUUUUUAUAGUUUUAGUUUUAUUGUCAAUGCAGCUUUUUCCAAUUCAAUUUUAUAACAGUUUUGCUGGUUAAAAAAAAAAAAAAGACUAUUUAUUUUGUGUAUUGGUUUUUAAAUUGUACAAUGUUUCUGAAUUUUCUUACUUCCAAACAGUCGUCUAUAAAUUAUCUUGAUUGUCUAAAAUGUGAAAUUCAUAUACUAUGAGAAUGAUAAUUUUAUUUUUUCAUUUUCAAUUCUUAAACUUCUGAUGACACUUGGCUGGAACCUCCUUCACUAGGUUGAAAAUAAGUGGCAACAGUGGUAUCCUUGUUCUGUUAUUGAUUCCAAGAGCCUGCCUCUAAUGUUUCCCCAUGUAUUAUGAUGUUUGUGUAAAUUUUGAUAGACCUUAUUUAUUAAGUAAAAAGAUUCUCUUCUAGUUCAAGUUUGGUCUACAAGUUUUUAUUGUGAAAGUGAACUGAAUUUUAGAAAUACCUUUUAAUGUGUAUAAAAAAUUAUAUCUUUAUUUCUGUUAAUGUGAUAAAUUACAUUAAGAGAUUUUAUUAAUAUUUGGUUAUCUUUGUAUUUCAACAAUUAUUUGGUUAUCUUUGUAUUUCAACAAUUAUAGUCAUAUUAUUAAAUAUUAAUUUGGUUAGCUAA
rnacentral:lncRNA from 1 species